rnacentral:rRNA from 1 species
GACGAACGCUGGCGGCGUGCUUAACACAUGCAAGCCGAACGAAGAGAAAUGGAAGCUUGCUUCUAUGGAUCUUAGUGGCGAACGGGUGAGUAACGCGUAAUCAACCUGCCCUUCAGAGGGGGACAACAGUUGGAAACGACUGCUAAUACCGCAUACGAUCCAAUCUCGGCAUCGAGAGUGGAUGAAAGGUGGCCUCUAUUUAUAAGCUAUCACUGAAGGAGGGGAUUGCGUCUGAUUAGCUAGUUGGAGGGGUAACGGCCCACCAAGGCGAUGAUCAGUAGCCGGUCUGAGAGGAUGAACGGCCACAUUGGGACUGAGACACGGCCCAGACUCCUACGGGAGGCAGCAGUGGGGAAUCUUCCGCAAUGGACGAAAGUCUGACGGAGCAACGCCGCGUGAGUGAUGACGGCCUUCGGGUUGUAAAGCUCUGUUAAUCGGGACGUAUGGUUCUUGUGCAAAUAGUGCGAGGAUUUGACG